rnacentral:rRNA from 1 species
AUACGGAGGAUCCGAGCGUUAUCCGGAUUUAUUGGGUUUAAAGGGUGCGCAGGCGGCCAUUUAAGUCAGCGGUUAAAUCGUGGGGCUCAACCCCAUUCUGCCGUUGAUACUGGGUGGCUUGAUUGCGGUCGAGGUUGGCGGAAUUCGUUGUGUAGCGGUGAAAUGCAUAGAUAUGACGAAGAACACCGAUUGCGUAGGCAGCUGACCAGAGCACCAAUGACGCUCAUGCUAGAAAGUGCGGGGAUCGGACAGGUUUAGAUACCCUGGGAGUCCGCACAGUAAACGAUGAAUACUUGUUUUCGGCGAUAUAAUGUCGGAGGCAAAGCGAAAGCGAUAAGUAUUCCACCUGGGGAGUACGCCGGCAACGGUGAAACUCAAAUGAAUUGACGGGG